rnacentral:lncRNA from 1 species
AACAUAAGAACUAUCAGAAUGACCAGAUGAGACCAAAAUUAUGCCACAUAAAUAAACAUGUUUUUGUUAGAAAUAAUUGACGAGAGAAAAUGUAAUUACAAAAGAAAGAUCAAAGGCUUACAAGUUAGUAUACUCCUAAAAACUGUAUGCUUGCCUGCCAAAAUCAGUACAAUCUAGGCUUUUUCUGUACCAAUAUACGCACCGCCUUUCAAAAGACUAAACAAUAUCUGGAUCACGUCAACUUUUCACUCUGUGCACACCCGCGUUACCCAAAGGGGACUACAGAAGUAUGUCUAACAAAACUCGAGUAAGUAUCAAGUCAAAUACAUUGGGAAAAAACAGGAUGCUACUCCACUGAACUAUACACAUAUCAGCCAGGAUUCAGCCUGCAUUUCACCUCAUGAGAUCAGCUUGUGUAUCGCCUCAUGUAUAGUGUAGAAGAGAUUAGUUCCUUAUGAAUUUUAUAUUUGUCAGGUGAACAAAGCCAUACAUUUCUCAUUUCAAUGGUGAGUAAUUUUCUUUUAGUACCUACAAUGGCAGAAAGUAUUCCGUAAGUAUGCCAAGUAUAUAUAACAAAAUGAGUACACGAGGAGAGAAGUGUAUAAUCAAAGGGAGCACAUAACAAAUGAGAAUCAUCUUCUUCAUGCUGUUUUACGCAUAUGGAGUUCAUGAGCAGGAAUACAAAACGGGCUGAUUUUCACUGAACUUGUGUGGAAUCACAUAUUUUGAAAUGGCAAUAAGACAUGGCCCACUACUUGAAACUGUAAUCAAUAUUCUUCAGACACCACACUGAGUCUUUCAGCAACCAUACAGAGUUCAAACAAACAGAAUAUUACCUAUCUAUUUCAAGGAUUGCCUAUUUUCUUCAGCAAGCCAUACAGAGUUGAAACAGACAGAAUAUUACCUAUCUAGUUCAGGGAUUGCCUAUUUUCUAUCUAGUUCAAUCAUGCGAUUUCCUUAACUUUACUGCCGACUCUUGGUAACAUAAAUAUAACAGUAGUGAUCCGUGAUGAAAAACAGACAAUGUCAAUGGUUAACCAAUUAAUAAACCCCUUCACAGUUCAAAGACCACGUUCCCUUAGGACGAAAUAGAGAAUAGGAAAUUUAUUCAAAACCAAUUCUGCAGUACUAAUACGUGAUGGAGAACAACUAUUGUCAAUGUGUCAACAAUUAAAUAAAUUCACAUGUGUUUUUCACCCAGAGAAUCCAAGACAGGAGCAACAAGUCAAGCAGCAUGCACCAAUGGAGUAAUUAGAUUAGGAUUGAGAAAUAUUAGUUACUUAUCCGGGAAGCUGUCCACCUUUUGAUGGCUUUUCCGUUCAAAUAAAGAUGGCUCUUGCUAGCCACUGUGUUUUCACCCUCACGCUAUAUCGCAAAUCUUCUCAUUUUCAGUGGACUUCAACUAGACAAAAGCGAUCUUUCAUAGGAUUAUUGCAUACAAGUAAAUUUUGAUGUCCUAAGCAGAGAAAUACACAGGUAGGCGGUCACUUAUCACAGGUCGAAGUUAUUUUUUUUGGAAUCAAGAGUAUGUUUUGAUUCAGUUCACCAGCAUCAAGUAUGAGAUUAUUGGUCAACUAUACUUGCAACUAAAGUGGCUCCUAAUUUGCAAUUCUAACUAUUGAUCAACUACAACACGUGAGCACAUGCACAGCUGUAUUUGAGUUCCUUGCAGAUUGCAAAAGGAAACACAGACAAGCAAAUAUAACUGGGCCUUUAUUUACAUUGAUUAUUAAAGAACUAAUACCUGUGCACUAUAAAGAAAUCAAACUGGAACUUGGUCGUAGCAUCAAUGAUUUGGGCUCUAAACAAAUUUGGCAGACAACAAGUGGAAUUGUAAUUGCCCAAGUAAAGGCUAAACAUGCUGCACCGCCGCUCUUCCUCAGUCAUCAAUAAUUCCUGGUUGUGCUCCUGCC